CAGCCCUAAACGAUGCGCGUUAGGUGUAUCGGUGACCACGAGUCACCGAGGUGCCGAAGGGAAACCGUGAAACGUGCCGCCUGGGAAGUACGGUCGCAAGGCUGAAACUUAAAGGAAUUGGCGGGGGGAGGCACCACAACGGGUGGGAGCCUGCGGUUUAAUUGGACUCAACGCCGGGAAGCUCACCGGAUAAGACAGCGGAAUGAUUGCCGGGCUGAAGACCCUGCAUGACCAGCUGAGAGGAGGUGCAUGGCGUCAGUGACU
rnacentral:rRNA from 1 species